CUACACCCUGGGCGCGGGCCAGGCGGUGUCCAAAGUCCUGUGGGAGAUCCUGAAGGACGAAGCACCGGCUGGAACCUUCGAGUGGAAGCCGAGCUCACCUGGGAUUGCCACAGGCCUACUGAAAGACAAGGUGAAUCUAGAGCGAGAUGACAGUGACCUAGAACUGACCACGCUGACCUAUGACCUGAGUGCGAACUACAGCUGCACCGUCAUUGCUAGUGAUGGCAGUUCAGCAAGUGCCGAGGACGAAAUAUUAAUCAUAGAUACUACUAGCAGACAUAUCUACCAUGGCGGCUACCCAAAUGAAGCCAACUGUAGCUUACAGGCUAGUGGCAGUUACUACCCAGUGUUUCCAGAACCGACUGUGUCCGCAGACUUCUUC
rnacentral:lncRNA from 1 species